UGCGCCUGUAGCUCAGCUGGAUAGAGCAACGGACUUCGAAUCCGUAGGUCGGGGGUUCGACUCCCUCCAGGCGCAAC
rnacentral:tRNA from 1 species